AUGCAGCCAUGGCUGAAGGCGUAUCCCUUAAAGGCGGCAGCAGCAUUUUUAUGUGAGGGUUUUUCCUGCGGUUUUCGCAUACCGGCGCAAGGUCCCAGAACCGCAUUCACCUCAGGCAAUUUAAAAUCGGCAGCGCAAAUGCCUGAGGUCCUUAGCAACAAAAUUGCCAAGGAAUUAGAGGCAGGCAGGAUCGCAGGACCUUUCCAGGCGCCACCUCUCGAGAACUUUCGAGUUUCCCCGCUAGGGGUGGUGCCUAAGAAGGCGCCGGGCGAAUACCGUCUUAUCCACCAUCUAUCUUACCCAAAGGGUUCAUCUGUCAACGAUGCCAUUCCCCCUGAGCUCUGUUCAGUCAAAUAUGCCUCAUUUGACCAAGCUGUCAACUUAGUACUCAAAAAAGGUCCGCACGCCCUCAUGGCAAAAUGUGACAUCCAGUCCGCAUUCAGGCUACUCCCCGUCAACCCGGCGGACUUCAACUUGCUGGGAUUUAAAUUUAAUGAGGAAUGGUAUUUUGAUAAAGCAAUGCCCAUGGGCUGCGCAGUCAGCUGUGCUGCCUUCGAAACAUUCAGUUCCUUUUUGGAAUGGGUGGCGCGCACCUUUGCUCGUUCCAAGUUUAUUACUCACUACCUCGAUGAUUAUCUUUUUGUGGGCGCCAGGGACAGUGACGAAUGCGCACACCUUCUCCGGACAUUCAGGGCUAUGGCCAUGGUUUUCGGCAUACCAUUGGCGAAAGAAAAGACCGAGGGCCCCUCCACCAGCAUCACCUACUUAGGUAUACAACUAGAUUCCAUUCGGGGCGUAUCCCGCCUGCCUGAGGACAAACUGUCCAAGCUAAAAGGACUGGUGGGCGAGGCCAUAGGCAAGAAAAAGGUCACGCUAAAGGAAUUGCAGGCCAUUUUAGGGCACCUCAACUUUGCCUGCAAAGUUGUGUCACCAGGGAGGCCUUUCUGUGCACGUUUAGCGCGGGCAACCGCGGGGAUCAGCGCACCGCAUCACCGUAUUAGAAUCAUGCAAGGGAUGCGGGACGACCUGAAGGUAUGGUUGGAAUUUUUGGACAGGUUCAACGGUAUUGCCAUUUGGCAGGAAAGAUGGGAGCCAGGGAAUGAACUCCAGGUUCACUCCGAUGCAGCGGGCAGCAGCGGCUUCGGAGUAUUUCUGCAAGGGCACUGGUGCGCGGCCAGGUGGCCUGACAGUUGGGCGGGAGGAAACAUACUGCGGGACCUCACCUUCCUUGAGUUUUUUCCCAUAUUAGUGGCCGUGCGAACCUGGACCAACCUCUUCAGGAACAAGAGAGUGCGAUUUUGGUGUGACAAUCAGGCCGUGGUCAGGGUCAUCAACAAACAGACAUCAAAAUCUCCUAGGGUCAUGAGGCUUGUGAGGCAAUUUGUACUAACUUGCUUGGAAGCUAACAUCACUUUCUUAGCUCAAUAUAUUCCAGGUGUUCACAAUGAAGUAGCGGAUGCAUUGUCCCGUUUCCAGGACGACAGGUUUCGGUCGCUAGCACCAGAAGCAGACCUCCAGCCCACCAUUUUCCCACAGGAGCUGUGGACCCUUGGAGAGGAGAAGCCUGGUCAGAACUAA
ensembl:lncRNA